GUACUUUUUACAAACAAAUGGUUAUGAGAGAAAAGCUUUUAGUAUGAAGUUUCAUUUAAAAUUCGAUAUGGGCUCCAGAUGUCCCCACCAGCUUCUUGAGUUGCCCAAGAAUUGCAUCAACUGA